rfam:Schistosoma mansoni, Puerto Rico, WGS project CABG01000000 data, contig: 0348
GCACUGCUGAGGAGUCCCAUAAUAUGACGAGACGGCCGUCCAGUGC